rnacentral:rRNA from 1 species
CGCACCUACCGAUUGAAUGUUUCGGUGAAGAUUCCGGACUGGAACGUGAGCGCUUCACGGCGCUUGGGGGAAAAGGAAGUUAUCUAAACCUCAACAUUUAGAGGAAGGUGAAGUCGUAACAAGGUUUCCGUAGGUGAACCUGCGGAAGGAUCAUUA